rnacentral:rRNA from 1 species
GAUGAACGCUGGCGGCGUGCCUAAUACAUGCAAGUCGAGCGAACAGACGAGGAGCUUGCUCCUCUGACGUUAGCGGCGGACGGGUGAGUAACACGUGGAUACCUACCUAUAAGACUGGGAUAACUUCGGGAAACCGGAGCUAAUACCGGAUAAUAUAUUUAACCGCAUGGUUCAAUAGUGAAAGACGGUUUUGCUGUCACUUAUAGAUUGAUCCGCGCCGCAUUAGCUAGUUGGUAAGGUAACGGCUUACCAAGGCGACGAUGCGUAGCCGACCUGAGAGGGUGAUCGGCCACACUGGAACUGAGACACGGUCCAGACUCCUACGGGAGGCAGCAGUAGGGAAUCUUCCGCAAUGGGCGAAAGCCUGACGGAGCAACGCCGCGUGAGUGAUGAAGGUCUUCGGAUCGUAAAACUCUGUUAUUAGGGAAGAACAAAUGUGUAAGUAACUAUGCACGUCUUGAUGGUACCUAAUCAGAAAGCCACGGCUAACUACGUG